UGGGGAAUAUUGCGCAAUGGGCGAAAGCCUGACGCAGCAACGCCGCGUGAGCGAUGAAGGCCUUCGGGUUGUAAAGCUCUUUCGGUUGGGAAGAAGGGUGUACGGGCAAACAGUCCGUGCAUUUGAUGGUACCAAAAGAAGAAGCACCGGCUAACUUCGUGCCAGCAGCCGCGGUAAUACGAAGGGUGCGAGCGUUGUUCGGAAUAACUGGGCGUAAAGGGUUCGUAGGCGGGAGUGUAAGUCACGUGUGAAAUCCCCAGGCUCAACCUGGGACGUGCACGUGAAACUGCGUUUCUUGAAUCUUGGAGAGGGUGAUGGAAUUGCUGGUGUAGGAGUGACAUCCGUAGAGAUCAGCAGGAACACCGGAGGCGAAGGCGAUCACCUGGCCAUAGAUUGACGC
rnacentral:rRNA from 1 species